rnacentral:rRNA from 1 species
UACGGAGGAGGCAAGCGUUAUCCGGAAUUAUUGGGCGUAAAGCGUCCGCAGGUGGCUAUUCAAGUCUGCGGUCAAAGACUGGGGCUUAACCCUGGAAAGGCCGUGGAAACUGAAGAGCUAGAGUGCAGUAGGGGUAGAGGGAAUUCCCGGUGUAGCGGUGAAAUGCGUAGAUAUUGGGAGGAACACCAGUGGCGAAGGCGGCUCACUGGACCGGUUCUGACGCUGAGGCGCGAAAGCGUGGGGAGCAAACGGG